CUAUACGAAGGUAUUGAAAUAAGAUUUUAAAUGAGUGCUAAGAGAAUGGACUCUCAGAGAAAAACUUUUUUUAUAUUAAAAAUUGAAAUUUUUUUAAUUUGUGCAGAAACAAUUAUUAAUAUUAAGGACAAGAAGACCCUAUGAAUUUAUUAAAUUUCAUUCAAUAUGUAAUUACUAUUGAAGAAAUUUUGGCUGGGGCGGCUAAAAAAUAUUUUAAACUUUUUAAAAAUAAAAUGAUCCAUUAUUAAUGAUUAUAUGUUAAAUACUCUAGGGAUAACAGCGUUAUAUUUUUUGAUAGACCAUAUUGACAAAAAAGUUUGCGACCUCGAUGUUGGAUUAGGAUACUUUUUUAAUGCAGAUAUUAAAAAAAGAAGUUUGUUCAACUUUCAAUUUCC
rnacentral:rRNA from 1 species